rnacentral:rRNA from 1 species
AGCGAACGCUGGCGGCAGGCCUAACACAUGCAAGUCGAACGAACUCUUCGGAGUUAGUGGCGGACGGGUGAGUAACACGUGGGAACGUGCCUUUUGGUUCGGAAUAACUCAGGGAAACUUGUGCUAAUACCGAAUGUGCCCUUCGGGGGAAAGAUUUAUCGCCAUUAGAGCGGCCCGCGUCUGAUUAGCUAGUUGGUGAGGUAACGGCUCACCAAGGCGACGAUCAGUAGCUGGACUGAGAGGAUGACCAGCCACACUGGGACUGAGACACGGCCCAGACUCCUACGGGAGGCAGCAGUGGGGAAUCUUGCGCAAUGGGCGAAAGCCUGACGCAGCCAUGCCGCGUGAAUGAUGAAGGUCUUAGGAUUGUAAAAUUCUUUCACCGGGGACGAUAAUGACGGUACCCGGAGAAGAAGCCCCGGCUAACUUUGUG